rnacentral:snRNA from 1 species
GGAACUGACCCCCUCUGUUGCAAAUGUCCAAUUUCUAACAUUAUACAGAAGGUUAGCAUGGCCUUUGUGCCAGGAGGACACACCGCUCCCUGAGUGUUCCGUAUUUUU